CUGCAGUCAUCAUCUGCAGUGAUUUUGGAGCCCAAAAAAAUAGUCUGACAGACUUCAUAAAAGUAAAUGUAUUCAAUAUAAAGAAUUUCAUUUUUGGAGAGUAUGUUUUUUCCUUUAUGAAAUGCCUGUAUUGGUAAAUUUGUAGGUUAUUUUUGUUUUUUUAAUGUCUUCACUUGACAAAAUUAAUAGCAACCUGACUGGGUUCCACUUUAAAGUUUGAGAAGUCUAGUAGUCUGGGGGUACUAUUGGAUCAGGCUGUUAUUUGUAAAGUGCCCUGAAUUAGUAAGUAAAAUGAUCUAGGAAAAUUCCAUUAGAGUCAAACUGACAUUUUUUUAGCUGAGCUAGUUGUAGAAAACAUAGCCAUCAACUUAAGUCUUAAUAAAGUGCAUCUUUUGAAUACCUGAUUUCUGUUGAGUUGUGGAAGCCUUUUGUGUGUAGCUAGGUUUUAUUUAUGCUUAAGACGGUUGUAGUUCUUACAUGUAUGUUUGUUUUUAGUCUAGUUUCUUAUUUCUGGGUUUUUAUACUGCUAUUUGGGAUUAAUUUCUACAGUCCUUGGGAUCUCUUUAUGUGGUAAAUACAUAAAUAGCAAAGUCUACCAGGAAUUAUAUAGGAAAUUAAAUAAUGUUUUUGAUAGGUUCUCUGAUUCUUAUGCUAUAAAAUGUGUCCAGAUGCACAAGCAUGUCCCUGUGGAGGGACAUUUCUGCACUUGAUAGUGCUCAGUACUUAAAAUCUUGCUUCAUUCACAUGCUUAUUAGCAGAAUGAGCUCCUCAGAGAUUUUUGUGCAAGUAUUACUGUGAAAUCUAGAAUCAGGAAUUACAUUGCCACAUUUUGUUUUGAAAUGGAUGGUUUUUUCUUUUAAACCCUAAGCAAUCUUAAUCUUACCAUGCUUAAGCAGGAAGCCAGGGAAUAGUACUUGAGAGUAAAGAAGUGACUGGUAUGUUUUUCUCU
rnacentral:lncRNA from 1 species